AGCCCUAAACACAAAUAAUUAUAAAAACAAAAUUAUUCGCCAGAGUACUACCGGCAACAGCCCGAAACUCAAAGGACUUGGCGGUGCUUUAUACCCUUCUAGAGGAGCCUGUUCUAUAAUCGAUAAACCCCGAUAAACCUCACCAAUCCUUGCUAAUACAGUACUAUAUACCGCCAUCUUCAGCAAACCCUAAAACAAAGGGACAAAAGUCCGUUCAAUAGUGACACAUAAAGACUCUAGGUCAAGGUGUUACCUAUGGAGGUGAAGAAAUGACUACAUUUUCUACCCAAGAAAAUUUAAUACGAUAAGCCCUUAUGAAAUUAAUAGCCAAAGGACGGAUUUAGCAGUAAACUAAGAAUAGAGUGCUUAGUUGAUGUCAGGCCAUGAAGCACGC
rnacentral:rRNA from 1 species